rnacentral:rRNA from 1 species
GACGAACGCUGGCGGCGUGCCUAAUACAUGCAAGUAGAACGCUGAAACUUGGUGCUUGCACCGAGCGGAUGAGUUGCGAACGGGUGAGUAACGCGUAGGUAACCUGCCUGGUAGCGGGGGAUAACUAUUGGAAACGAUAGCUAAUACCGCAUAAGAGUAGAUGUUGCAUGACAUUUGCUUAAAAGGUGCAAUUGCACCACUACCAGAUGGACCUGCGUUGUAUUAGCUAGUUGGUGGGGUAACGGCUCACCAAGGCGACGAUACAUAGCCGACCUGAGAGGGUGAGCGGCCACGCUGGGACUGAGACACGGCCCAGACUCCUACGGGAGGCAGCAGUAGGGAAUCUUCGGCAAUGGACGGAAGUCUGACCGAGCAACGCCGCGUGAGUGAAGAAGGUUUUCGGAUCGUAAAGCUCUGUUGUAAGAGAAGAACGAGUGUGAGAGUGGAAAGUUCACACUGUGACGGUAUCUUACCAGAAAGGGACGGCUAACUACGUG